rnacentral:rRNA from 1 species
CCAAGGAGUCUAACAUGUGCGCGAGUCAUUGGGACUUUUAUAAGCCUAAAGGCGCAAUGAAAGUGAAGGUCUUCCUUAGCGUCGACCGAGGGAGGAUGGUUCGCGUCACGAUGCGAGCCCGCACUCCCGGGGCGUCUCGUGCUCAUUGCGAGCAGAGGCGCACCUAGAGCGUACACGUUGGGACCCGAAAGAUGGUGAACUAUGCCUGGUCAGGACGAAGUCAGGGGAAACCCUGAUGGAGGUCCGUAGCGAUUCUGACGUGCAAAUCGAUCGUCGGAACUGGGUAUAGGGGCGAAAGACUAAUCGAACCAUC